ensembl:lncRNA
CAGGGGCCCAGAGAUCAUCGUCCAUGGGGGUAUGGGGGGGCCCAGGGUUGUGCAGAGAAGUGGGGAGAGGCAGGAGCCAAAUCCAGGGACCUGGAGGAAGAGGGAGUUCCAUGGAGGAAGCUGGGACCCAGUGUCCCAUCCCCCAACCAGGUACCACAGAUAAUGCAAAGACCUUGCUGCUGUGCUAUGCUCAGUUGUGUCUGACUCGUUCCCACGCCAUGGACUAUAGCCAGCUAGGCUCCUCUGUCCAUGGAAUUUUCCAGGCAAGGAUACUGAAGUGAGUUGCCAUUCCUUUCUCCAGGGGAUCCUCCUGACCCAGGGAUGGAAGCUACAGGCGG